AUUGAACGCUGACGGCAGGCCUAACACAUGCAAGUCGAACGAGUGGCGGACGGGUGAGUAAUGUCUGGGAAACUGCCUGAUGGAGGGGGAUAACUACUGGAAACGGUAGCUAAUACAGCAUACCAUCAGAUGUGCCCAGAUGGGAUUAGCUAGUUGGUGGGGUACCGGCUCACCUAGGCGACGAUCCCUAGCUGGUCUGAGAGGCUGACCAGCCACACUGGAAAUGAGACACGGUCCAGACUCCUACGGGAGGCAGCAGUGGGGAAUAUUGCACAAUGGGCGCAAGCCUGAUGCAGCCAUUGCGCGUGUAUGAAGAAGGCCUUCGGGUUGUAAAGUACUUUCAGCGGGGAGGCGUUACCCGCAGAAGAAGCACCGGCUAACUCCGUGCCAGCAGCCGCGGUAAUUC
rnacentral:rRNA from 1 species